AUGCCGCUCGCCAUUGCCGUCCCCUCGGCGGCGGCGCUCCGGCGGCCAUAUCACUUCCGCUUUCUCCACCCUCCCAGAAAGCUUAGCCUAUCGAGAACACGCUGCGCCCCUUCGCCCCCGGCAGAGGCGCAGCCAGUGCCUCCGCAACCCCGGCGAUACCCGAGGCAGUACCCAGGCGAGGCGGUGGGCGUUGCCGAGGAGAUGCGGUUCGUCGCCAUGCGCCUCCGCAACACUAAGCGCACUACUCGUAAGGGCAAUAAUAGGGCUGACGGAUCCGGGGAGGACGAUGAAUCGAGGGAGGAUGAGGUGGAGGACAACGACGACAUGGACGAGGAGGGAAACGACGAAGUGAAGGAGGAGGAGGAGGAGGAGGAGGAGGAGGACAACCAUGAAGUGGAGGAGUGGAUGCCCAGCAUGGAAGGGUUCGUGGGCUACCUUGUGGAUAGCAAGCUUGUCUUCGACACCGUUGAGCGGAUCAUAGCCGGGUCUACGGACGUCGCCUAUGUUUACUUCAGGAAAAGUGGUUUGGAACGUUCGGCUAGCAUUGAAAAAGAUUUGGAGUGGUUCAGAGAACAAGCAAUUGAAAUUCCAGAGCCAAGUACUUUUGGAUCAACAUAUGCAGCUUAUCUGUCUGAAUUGGCUGGGAGCAGUGCCCCGGCCUUCCUUUCCCAUUAUUACAAUCUUUAUUUUUCUCAUACAACUGGAGGGUUGGCGAUUGGUAAAAAGACGUGCGACAAAAUUUUGGAUGGGAGAUUGCUGGAGUUCUACAAAUGGGAUUCUGACCCAGAAAUUUUACUAAAAGAUGCUAGGGAGAAGCUUAAUGAGCUUAGCAAGCACUGGUCUCGGAAGGACAGGAACUUGUGCUUGAAAGAAGCCGCAAAAUGCUUCCAGUACAUGGGGCGGAUCGUGCGGUUAAUCGUUUCAUAG
rnacentral:rRNA from 1 species